rnacentral:rRNA from 1 species
CUGGCGGUAUGCUUAACACAUGCAAGUCGAACGCGAAAAUACCUUCGGGUAUGAGUAGAGUGGCGGACGGGUGAGUAACGCGUAGGAAUCUGCCUAGUAGUGGGGGACAACUACCGGAAACGGUAGCUAAUACCGCAUACGCCCUACGGGGGAAAGCGGGGGAUCUUCGGACCUCGCGCUAUUAGAUGAGCCUGCGUCGGAUUAGCAGGUUGGUAGGGUAAUGGCCUACCAAGGCGACGAUCCGUAGCUGGUCUGAGAGGAUGAUCAGCCACAUUGGGACUGAGACACGGCCCAAACUCCUACGGGAGGCAGCAGUGGGGAAUAUUGGACAAUGGGCGAAAGCCUGAUCCAGCAAUACCGCGUGUGUGAAGAAGGCCUGCGGGUUGUAAAGCACUUUCAGUAGGAAGGAAAAGCCUCAAGUUAAUAACUUUGGGUCUUGACGCAACCUACAGAAGAAGCACCGGCUAACUCCGUGCCAGCAGCCGCGGUAAUACGGAGGGUGCAAGCGUUAAUCGGAAUUACUGGGCGUAAAGCGUACGUAGGCUGUUAGGUAAGUCAGAUGUGAAAGCCCCAGGCUCAACCUGGGAACUGCAUUUGAUACUGCCUGGCUAGAAUCUGGUAGAGGGUAGCGGAAUUCCACGUGUAGCAGUGAAAUGCGUAGAUAUGUGGAGGAACAUCAGUGGCGAAGGCGGCUACCUGGACCAAGAUUGACGCUGAGGUACGAAAGCGUGGGGAGCAAACGGGAUUAGAUACCCCGGUAGUCCACGCCGUAAACGAUGUCAACUAGCCGUUGGGUUCUUUUAUGGACUUAGUGGCGCAGCUAACGCGAUAAGUUGACCGCCUGGGGAGUACGGUCGCAAGAUUAAAACUCAAAGGAAUUGACGGGGGCCCGCACAAGCGGUGGAGCAUGUGGUUUAAUUCGAUGCAACGCGAAGAACCUUACCAGCUCUUAACAUCCUCAGAACUUGUCAGAAAUGACUUGGUGCCUUCGGGAACUGAGUGACAGG